ACUACAAACGAAGUUCCACAAAGUUCCUCAGCUGUGUUAUCUGAACAGGCUGGCUGUGACACACCAAAAGCAUGACUCAGGGCUAAGAGAAGGAGCAUGAAGAAAGUAAGGGGCACCCUGUCUCACUGCUCUUCUCCUGCAUCUGGGCUAUUAAUCUUAGGACAUCUGUCAGGAGUCACAGGGAAGUCCUAGAAAUGCUAUACCAAAAGUGCCCUAAUAAGAAGGACACCGUUUGCUCCUAGUGACCUUUAACAACAAUCCAAGAUGGCAGUACAGUAUUAUCCACAUCUCCUAAGGAGUGUCAGGAAAGGCCUAUUACAGCAUUAUAAUCCCUCACAGGGUGUGUGUGGUGGGGGGGAAUCAAUGCCUAUAACUUGCUUAUGACAUCUGCCAGUUGUCAUUUACAAGAUUAAAUACUGACACAAUUUUUAAUACCCGUGCUUUGUUCUUCACUCUUCCCUUGAUAUUCGAGCAUUGCCCUUGUUUGGGUGGACAAACCCUACAUUAAACUUCUCCAGAUUCCUCCUGCAAGAAGAUUCACAGCCUGCACCAUGUUCCAGUCCAGGGUCAGCAGAUGAGUAACCAGUGCUGAGAGAAACCCUCUGAAGGCCAAGAAUCAACUCUAGUCUCACCCUCAGAAAGGCCUGAGCCUCGGCAGGCAGGGCUCCCUGACAAUACUCAAUCAGUGACAGAACUGCAGGAAUUGCAAUAUCCACCUCUCCUUCCCAGGCUUUACUCAGCAGAAGCAAGCAGAACAUGCAAUGAAAUCAAAGAGAAGUCCUCCUUCUCAACAAACAUCCAAGAGCUGCAGUAUUUUAGACUAAACCCUUUCCUUCUCCACUUGGCUUGAAUGGGUUCUGCAGCACUGAAAAGCUGUUCUGCCAGCACGGAGCAGUUGGGUUAAGCAGCCUCAAAAGCGACGGCUCCUUAAAAGCAGGAGUCACUCCUGCACCAUGAGUGACACAUUUGGUUUACCUCCAAGGCAUUGUCUCAGGGCAUGCUGGCCUCCUCACAAAACAAGGGCUGCUCUGGGGUAGGAGCUUGAAGAGGAAGGCAGGUUGGCCGGCUGGUUUCGAGCUUCACAGCAACAUGCAAUAUGUUCCAAGAACUUCCUUUUCUAGUAAAUCCCAGGAAAAAGGAUUUGUUUCUUCUCUCAAAAUGCAAUACCUGCCUGUAUUAUAGCUAGGCCUGACAGGAGUUUCACUACACAACAGCAAAAUUUAACAGCCUACAUGAAAAGUUUAAAACAAGUCUUUAUUAGAACAUGUAAUACUGCAGCAACAGUUUUGACAUGUUUAGGCAACUGAACAAAAUUAAGGAUCAGAUACUCAUUUAUCUGUCAUAUUUUAGGAACCCAUUCAGGAGGAUGAGACUAAUCUUGAACUACCAACAUACCUCUCUUACUCUAGAUUUCAACUUCAAUUUAAUACAGUUUCUUUGUUUUUCCCAAAUGCCCUUCCUCAUCUUUAGUCUUGCAAAUCUAUGGAACUUAAAAUGCUGAAGGGGAGAAAACUGAGAAAAACAACUCUCAAACACCUGCUUCAUCUGAACUGAGACUAUGAACUAUGUCAUUUUGAGCAGCCAUCACUUACCAGAUAAACACAAGGCAAAAUAUAAUAAUAAAGGUUUUGUUUCAUUUCUUUAAAAAAUACAAAAAAACCAGACAUUCUGAAGAGGCAAACAAACUGAAACAUGAAGUUACACAGUGGUGAUUCUGUGAACAAAGACAACUUUCUUCUUACAGACAUUUGCACACUCUCCCAACACUAUCCCAUACUAAUGGGCAACUACAAACUGCUAUACUCCCCAAAAAUCAACGCAUGGGUUCACUUUGCAAUUUAUGGUGUUCAACUUACAAAAGGCACCUUCAGUCACCUUCUAUUAAUACAGAUAAAAAAGAACUUAUUAAUACAGACAAAGGCAGAAUACUGCUUGUCUGAGUGGGCCAAUGAAAAAUGAAUGCUGGAUCACCAGUCUCAUUUUUCAUCCACUUAUUGGUGUAUAUAUAUAUGGAUUCACACAGAUCAGCCUCCAAAGCUCUCUCUAAAACCUCUAUCAGCAGGUUAAGUAACAACAGGGGAUAAAGUUGGUAGCACCUGCAUCUGUGAUCAUUUAUACAAAGCUUAACUCUGUCUCUUCCUCACUGUGAGUGACUUAUUUCCCACAAGACCCAAACUGCCUUGCUACUUAUUUCCCACAAGACCCAAAUUGCUUGAAAAAAGCAUAUGCUUUAUUCAGCAAGGAUUAAUGGAUGUUGUCCUCCAAAAGGGCUGGAUACUGAGGAAAAGCAAAGAAAACACACCAAAAUAAUCUUCUUUUCAACAUAAACUAAAUGCUACUAUUUACACUAAAGAGCUUAUUCUACCAGUUGCAUGCUUUGCCCAAAGAAGACACCAGAAUAAUAUUUAAUUAAAAUACAGAAAUCCAAGUUUUUAAAUAACAUCUUUUUCCCCAGCAUGUGCAGACAAAUCUAAAUGCCUUUCAAAUAGCAAAAGGCAUUUGCUGUGAAUGAGUAAAUCUCCCUUGCCAUGAUGCAAACUUCUGCCCACCUGACGUUACAUUAUGAAACUUGUUUUUUAAGAAGUUGCAUUUAAAAGAAAACAAUUAAUUGGUUUUGUUCAAGCUUCUAGAAGAACCGAACUAAGAGGCUAAAUCUAGGAAGUUCUAGGUCAAAAGAUAGUUGUCACCGAUACAGAAUGGAAGUGCUUAAACAGCCAAAAGAGUGACAUUAUUAACCAAUGCUCUUUUCAAAAACAUUCAGUGACAUUUCUACAGUGCUCAUUACUACAGCACCUGAAAACAAAGGACCAUAAAACACCUGCAACGAAAGUAUUGAUUUCCCAAGAGCACUUCAAACUAACAAGGGUAAAGAAGAGCUGUCUAUACUGCUGAAUAUACACUCUCCAUACACGCUAUAUACUGCUAUAUACUGUCUACACUCUUACUUCUCUGCAAACUUAGAGCAGAAGUCCAGAUCUAAAGUCACAGUUCAGAAAGUCUGAUCUUUCACUUUUAGCUUUGGAAAUUAACAGAAGCAUUUUUCAGACCUGAAGUAAGUUUUUGACUUAUUUUAGUAGAUGUACUGUCACUUAUGGUGCAAAUAACACAUGGGGAAAAAAAGAGUGUAUUGUGUCAGGAUUGCUUAACUCAAUAAAAAUCCAUUCUGAAUGAAACAGAGGAAGAAAUAUAAGUGUUUGACACCAAAAAUCCAUCUACUUCCUCUGUCCUACCCAAAAAAAUAAAAAUUAUUACCAGUAUUUUGAAAACUAAUGAGACGUUUAGAGUCCUCCUGACUCAUUUCAGAAGUAGUAAUCCUAAAACAACUUUCCUCAAACUAAAGCUAUGGAAAAAAAAAAUUAAAAGGCUUGUGUAACAGGAGGAAAUAUGUUCCUGAAAGAAAUACACUAGCUUUGUUUCUAUGCUAAACAAAGUUGGUGUUAAAAGAAAAUAUUUGAACAUAAUUAGAACAGCAGAAUAUUGAACAAAGAAAAUCUGGAUUUCUGGCACUGAGUCAUCCCUCUCAUAUGUCAGUAAGAUCCUGGAGAUCUGUAAGUGUGGGGAGGGACAGGUACAGCUCAGCUGUGUGUCUGUGGCUGUCAAACAGGCUCUUGGCAAAGGUAAAAUGACAAGACAGUGCAAACAGUGGCACAAAAUUUAUAAAUUACUGGAAAUGCCUUUUCCCAUUUACAAAUGGGGCCAAAUCCUAAAAAUUUCAUUCAAGCCAUUUAGCAUUCUACUGCAAUAAAAGCUUGUAAGAGCCAAGGACAAGUUCUUCAAAACCUGAGGACUGUGUGACUGUGAGCAAACUACACAAAUUACACUUGCCUGCAAAUUUCCCCAAAGCUGCUUACUUGGGAUAAGGGGCCAUGUGCAGGCUCUAGCACUGCAGGAGAAGGAAGGUGGCUCCUUCCUCUUCCACUGGAGUCACUUCCAAUUUACCAAAGACUUGAAAGCAGAAAGGGAAGGUGUUUACUUACACAUAGCAGCACAAGAUUUACUAGCAAAGACUGAAGACAGCUGGAAAUCUCAAAUUUCAGUGGGAAUUAGGUCCCUGACUCUCUUAAUUUCCUUUUACAACAGUGGGAGCUCAGCACUGCCGGUGAUGAGCAGCAGGUUGUCCUGAGAGUGCCAUACCUAACAACAGGUCACUAUCAGCAGAAGCAGCACCACUAUACCCCAGACUGCUCAGAUCAUUCCUAACUGUAAAUUAAUAGAAAUAUUGCUUUUAACCUAGUCAGAACAGACUAAAACUUUGAUUCAGUAUGUGGUCACAUGUCCAUUUAGUUUUAAGACCAUCACCCAACAAACCUUACAGAGUAGAAAUAAAAAGCUUUAAUUUAAUAAGGGAUUAAAUUAAUUAGGUUUUUUUGGCAAAUCUUUUGUAUUGCUGACUUCUAUAAUAUUAACAUUAUAAUAACCUUUAAAAAUGACAGAUGCUGCAUGCCUCAAUUCCAGUUAAGAAGUGCCAAAAGAAAAAGCAAUGCUGUUCUGCCCAUCCAUACCUUCUGUGGAAGGCAUCAAGUCUCCUCAGGGGUAUCAUCUUUCCAAGUGAAAAAAUCUAUUAGUUCAUUAACUUUCCAGCUUUGAUGACCUGAAUUCAGAAAGCUUCCCUGAACCACAAAUAGCCCAUUCCUCACCUACUCAACAUGAAGGCAAAUCCCACAGGAAUUGUUUCUGGCUUCUUUCAAUUAACCUACAAGUAGCUCAGUAUUUUACAAUUGUCCAGAAAUCAACACUAUGUAAAGAGGAAAUCUGUGAAAUACACAGCAGCUUAUACAGAUUGCAGACGCAUUUCCUGUAGUCAUUUCAAAACAAGGAACACAAUGAAUGAUGACGAGGGGGAUGAAGGAAGAAAGGGAGAUGGUGGGGCUGAAGGGCCUUGAGAGGUUUUGGGGGCUUGAUAAAAACUCCUUCAUAAUAACAGCAGCAGAACAAUUUGAGAACUUACAUAGGAAUAGAAAGAUAAAAUUUUAUGGUAAACAGAGGCAAACACAGGAUGAUUCUUUUUUCCCCCCUCAGCUUACUCCAGGUAGGAGAAGGAAGACAUAAUAAUAAAUCUCUUCCAAAUUUACAGAUAAUCAAUACCACUGUGUCCUGACAAUAACCUCUCUCUGGGGCAUUUUUGUAGCACAUGGUGCAAACACCAUGAUCAGAUGCACAGAUCAGCAGUGCCUGCAAGACUUAAAACUAACACUGAAAUUUUUGCAAAAGAAAAAAAUUCACAGCUAUACAGAAAAUUAAAUGUAUGUAAUAUAAAAAAAAAAACAACAGGUCCACUCUGAUGCUAUCAACACUUUAAAAACAAAACUAGUGUGGAAGUGAAAUGUUUAUUUCAACAAAGAUUCUUCACCUACAAAAUGUAAGAAAAAGACAUGCACAGCCUAUGCUCAGACCACAUGCAAUCUGAGAAAUUCAUGUUAUGAAUUUAUUAUAUAAGCUUGUCCAAUUUUAUAUCACUCACAUGUAUAAUUCAAGUUAUUGCCUUAAUUUAUGUUUAUUCUCAUUAGCAUGAAACAAAAAUUGCCUUUUCCACAAAUGCACCUCAUUCAUAACCAUAAACCAAUAAAGCAAGUUAUCUGCUCACAUUUUGCAUGUAUUAUACCUUAUUUAAACUACAAGCAAGACAGUUUCAGCCCUCAAAUACUGAUUUUACACACAGCUAAUUAAAGAAUUGAGGACACUCCACUGCAAACACCAUCCACACAUAAGUGUUUAUUACAGUUUUGUCCUCCUUGCAGUACUCAUGUAUUAAGUGCACUUUGUACCUUUCCUAAAAUGUUGAAGUCAAUAUACAAGUUCUUUUGUUAAGCCAUCUAACAGUAUUUACUUAUGCUGAGAUGCCAGUGCUUGCACUUUCAGAAAAGAAACAUCAGUCAUUUAAAAAUUCUACUGGCUUUAACUGACCUUCAGAAAAAUAAAAUAAUCAUGUGAUUAAAAGUGUGCCUGGCCGUGCUGGAGUUUUCUACAAUGCUACUUUCCUGCUCUGUGUUUCCACAAAACCUGAUUCAGAAUGAAAAGCAUGACCUUACUUCUCAAGAGCUGCUUUUCCACUUGUACAGCUACUAGAAAUCAAAGAUAAGAUCCAGUGAGCAUAUGUACAAGGUCAAGAACCUAUUACAGACUGUAACACAAUCACUCUCUUUUAUGAAUGGACUCACUCAAACUAUCUUAAGAAAAAUCUGUCCCAGUCUAUCACAAAAUGUUUUCACCACAUACAGAGACACUGACACUGCACAUCAGUCACGGUGAUGGAAAUUUAAAAUCACCUGCACUUGGACUACCUGCUCUAGAGAUCAAAGCUUAAGACCUCAGAAUACUUGCUUGAAAUUCUGAAAAAUGGGGUCACUUAUGCUGUGUGUACCUGUCCAGAACAGAUUAAAAGGAAAAUUUUGAGAACUUUUACAAUCUUUUACAGAAAAAUAGCCUAAUUUUAUGUUACAUACUACUAUUACAAUUAUUCAUGUAGAAUAUCAAAAACUCUUCUUUGGUUUUAUAGCUAGUCUCAUAGAGUUCUUUUACCUAUCACUACCAGGGAAAAGCAGUAACUCCUGUUUAAUAAUGCAUUACUAUACAACUCGAGUGAAGGGAUGGAGAACCCUAAUGAAGCCACUUGAAAAAGCUCAGAUUUAACCAGCCAGUAUAAAAAUCCUAACAGAUCACUUCAGCUUUAGCCUUGCAGUCCUGUGCAAAAUCAAGCAAAUUUCAAAUACAGCAAGAUUCAUAAAUGGCACUGCUCCUUCCUGAGCCAUGCAAAGGCACUGGCUCAAAACUCUGUACCAACACAAAUGAAGAUUGCUCAGAACUUAAGACCCAGUUAACAAGGAAAAACAAGAAAAUCUGUAACUGAAACCUGAACAUCAGAACUGAGGAACUGUAAUGAGAUUAGGCAAAAACUAAAUGGUAAUAUGCACCAUGUGUUACAAAUAAAACAACCAAAUAAAAACCCACCUACAACUAACUGCUCAGACUGCCCUGGAAUUAGUGCUGUCACCUUUUAAAAAUUCUAAAUGUAUUAUUAAGACAUUCAGUUUGCUCACAGCAUUUCAUGAAAAAAAAUAAACUGUGAAAACUGGAAGGCUUUCAUAAGCUAAACUGUCCAGUAAACAAGUAUUUCCAUGUUUUUCUUAAUUUGCACAAAACCCCCUUCCUUUGAAUGAGUGUUUUAGUGUUUUGGUCUGUUUUAUUCCUAGUUUUUAAGCCUACCAAAAUUUCAGUUUGAAUGUGAACUCAUGACUGUGAACGCUACAUGGGUUUAGCUCAGAUGCUCUCAUAAACAUGUCUGAGAAUAUAAAGUAAUCAAGAUUCACAAGCCAAGCAUGUAAAACAUGGAGUUAACCAGGUGAUCUUGCAGCACUUGGUAUGUUCACAUGAUUUUAUUCAGAGCUGAAAAAGCCUGCAGUAAACCACCCCCCAUUCCACUCUUUUCCCACAUUCCAUGCCUCUCUGUGCUCUCCCCAACACCUCACACAGGCUCUGAGGGCUACAAGCCACAGCAGAUCCUCACGUACCGCUUACAUAACCUGAAUGCUUCAAAAUUUAACCACACUUCAGUGUUUUUUCUAGAGGCUAUCUGCUCUGUGAUGCUCAACAUGGACCAAAUUUACACCAACUUCUGGAAUUGAUAGAUCUUCAUGUUGUAGGCUGAAGCAUAAAUUUAACAAACCUCAUCUCAACUUGCAUCAUCAAUUCCCCAAGACUCAAAACAAACCACAGAAGCAGUUGGUGCUCCCUGAAAAAAAAAAAAAAAAGCCUUCUGCCUACACAAAGCCUAGAACAAGUGGCAGUUAGAUAGAGGAGAAAGGAGUGUUGGCAAUGAAAAUGUGAACCUUAAUACUUUUUCAUGGAAGAGCUGGAGUUAUUUACUUCUAAGUUUAUGUAACUUUCUCCGAGGAAGAAGUAACAUCAAUCGAUAAACAGUUGAAGGAAACCAAAGGUUGUCUGUCUUUCUGCACAAGAUUGAUCAAAAUGAGAAUUUCCUUGGACACAAGUAUUUCAAAUAAAACGAGUCAGAAGCUUACACAUUUUUUAAAGACUUGUUCUAUUGCAAGUGCACGUGUAGAAUCUCUCUGAAUGCUGAGCAGAAUUCAUAAUGUAACUGUGUAACACUGAUCCACCAAAACAGUUCUGGGAACUGGCAAAACACUACUUUGUAGCACUGCUCUAGAGAAGAAAGACAUCUCCGCAGGAAAGGAAAAUUAUUGGAAGUAUUCAAAAAAACCCCUCCAACUGUAAUGAUCAAACGUAAUAACCUGCACUGGGUCAUGCUGGCUUUCAGAAAGAUCUCUCCAACCAAUUUUAUGGUGACACCUGCAUUGAGAGAAGAAUGAGCUCUGGCAAAAAAGUUCAGUCAACACAGCUCAAUGUUGCCUGUUUCAAUUUUGAAAAUUAAUUCUCCAAAUGCUUUCUGAAUUCCCACAUUCUAAAUAUUUCUGUGAGAAAUGCCUUUUUUUUUUUUACUAUGUAAAACUUUUCCAUCAAAAUACAUUUAAGGCUACAGUUUUCCACUAGCUAACCCGUCACAGCAAAACAGCUCAAAUACACUUGCAGGAAACAUAAUUUACACAUUCUAGAUCUCCCUCAAAGAAAUCACAUCUCUCCAAAAGUUUUAAGUGCAAACCUACCAUUUUUGGCACCAUUUUUGACAGAUCAACUAAAUCAUCUUAAAAUCAGAUUUGCUGCAAACUUGUUUGAGAACUUUGAAAGUAUUCCUGCAGCCAGCAGUAAUGGGCUCACUGAGAGUUCAGGAGUGAGAGCCAAUCUGAGACCCUGAGAGCACCUUGAAACCUGGAAAAAAACAACCCCCAACACUUCUUCAAAACAGGUGCAAUUCAUGUCCUGCAGAUGUACCAAACCUGCAUUUUCAUAUAAUGUACAUGAAAUCAGUAGACCACUGCACUCUUCCAAAUCAUUUUAAAAAACCCAACUUACUAACUGCAGUCAAUGUACAUCAAUAACAUGACAUUAACAAUAACAUGACAUUUCUGAAAUAUUGUUAUUUUUAGCAUCCAUAUUCAUAUCUGUUGCAGUGUGUAUGAAUCUGAAACACCAAAGUUUGAAGACUGCUUGAGAAAAAGGAACCUUCUAUCUUUUGAAAGCCCUCUUCCACCGUUCCAUCUCUGGCUUUAACAUCACCCUGAAUGCUCUCUGGAUAGACCUUAGGUAAAUAUGGAACAGCUAGAUUUUAUGGAGGUGUUAAAAGUACCAGAAGUGGAUACUGAAAGUAGCACACUCCAAGUCUUCUGUGGUGGUACAUAAGGAUAACUGCACAAGCUUAACCUCAUGAAUUGGCUUUCCUGAAUAUACAACAAACUGUCUCAGACAGUUAUUGCUGUUAUUCUUUCUAGGUCUGAAAUAUGCUCAAGUCUCAGACAAUGCAUCCUCAUCUGGACAACCUCUGAUGCAAAGAUUAUCACAGUCUUUAAGUCAGGAUGAACAAGAAUGCAAAGUUCUUUGCAGUAAGUCUAUAAAUUAGGAAAAGAACCACUGGUUAAACAUACAGAGAAACAUUCUUCUCACUUACUUUUGAUUACUGUACAACCCCCUUGUGUACAAGCAAAACAGUGUAUCCCAUGCCAUUGCCCCUGAGUAAGAAAAAGCACAUCACAGCACGCACCAGGAGCUAGCAAAUCUUACUGGAUACUUGGGAUGACAGAUAAUCUGGCGCCAAUUACAAUAAUAAAAAACAAAUAUAGAAUGAAACUAACUCCUAAGUAUUAAGAUCUCCAUGUAGAAGAUUGGUGCUUUUCCAAUGUUUUGGUCCACUUCUAUACAAUUUUUCAUAAGGUAGAAAAGGUAAACUUUGGUAAUGUUUGGCAAAUUAUUAUUUCUCAAUUCCUUUAACUGUUAUAAAACAUAAUAACAGAAGUAUGAAGGACAUUAUAAAAAUGUAAAAUAUUAAAAAAAACCCAGAACCUGGCAUGAAGGAAGUUAUGCUAACAUUGCUAUGCUCCAGGAACACCACCAUUCCAAUUUGGCUGUUUCUAGCCUAAUGUAAUAGUAAAUAGGUACCUCCAUGCAAGAAGCAAACUAAUCUAAAACAGAAAGACCUCCUGAGGAAAGAUGAUCAAUAAGAAGAUAAAUUGAAGAAGCCUACAAAGCCACCUCUGGAAGCACUCUUAAUUGAGAGCUGAAGAGCAGAACCACCACAUUUGGGACAAAGGAGCCAGGAUCCAUAGCUGCUGCAUGAGUACCACAUUUUCUAAACACAGACUCUACUCCCCACGAAAAUGCACCUCAUUGACACAAACAAUCCCACUGCAGUCUCUAGCACCAAGUCAUUUCCUGCACCAAGCUUCACAACCACUUAGGCAUACACAAAAUGUGUGUUAAGAUUUUUACAUCAACUACAGCUGCUGACUUCUGCAAUUAACAAAGGGAAACCCCUCCAAAUCUCUCAACAAAGUACAUGCUUCUUUUCUAUAAACACUUUAUCAACAAAAUUGUCAACAAAAUGUCUUAGGUAAAAAAAAAAAUAUCUGAGGGGACACCUGGAAAGUUGCUAUCACCAGAUGUCCCCAAACAGUUGCAGGCCUUGAUGACUUGUGACUUAUUGAGUUAUUUUAGGAAGAAGACACUUUGUUUUUUCACAUUUUAACCUAGAUAUUCUUUAAGCACCUGAAAAGAAAGACAAUGCUUGUAAAAACGGUUUUUAAAUACUUGACAAUGUUUAACUUCAUGUAGAACAGGGCUCCCCUAGAGCAUUUCUCACCCCUGCAAAGCAAAUUUCACAAACAGAAGAGGUGAAAUAUACAAACUUCAGUUUAUCACAUUGUCAGGUCUGCCUUUGUUGUCUGACCCAUAGCUACAUAUUCACAGUUGGAAUACAUGAAUCUGUUUAUCAAAUGAAAAGACUGCUAUCUCAGGUGCAGCUCGUUACAAAACAUACUGCUUUUGUCGUGGUUUAUUUUUGUACAGGUUUUCCUACUACUUGUUAGUAAAACCGUGGCCACAUGGCAGGAAGUCUUCUCCUUUAUUUCUAUAAUCCAAAACUGACGUUCUUAGAAAAGGCUUUUUAAAGAAAUAAAUUAAAUAUGGAGAUGAAAAACCUAUCAUCAGCUGAAAUUCCUAAUCUCAUAGCCCACUUUUUUCUUUUUAGUUUUACCACUAAAUGCAACUAUCAGUGAUCAAAAGUAGAGGAAAGAGUAGAACAGUGUAACUCAUAUUGCUGUAAAGCUGGCUGCUUUACUAUAAGAGACUAUAAAGAAUCUUCUAAUUUCAUCAGCAAGAGUUUGGAUGAAGCAAAUAUAUUGAUAUAUGCCUUGCCAGUGAAAUGAGAUAAACAGGUACGUCCAGUUUCUCUAUAAAGGCACAGCACAUUAGUUCUACACCACUGCCUACUGGGAUCAGACAUAGCAUCGAAAAGUUCACACUAAACCUGAAAAGCCAACGCUAAGCCUUAAAAGCCAGAGACUCAGCUAAGUAUCUCCUUUUUAGCACACACCCCGCUGCACACACACGCUUCCUGAUCCUCCGGCAGACCGAAGCUUUCCUAUUCCUCUCGUUCCCCAACGCCAUUACUCGUGCUGUAGUUGUUAUUCUGUUGUAAGCUUUAAUUGAACCGACUGUCAAAACACAACAGCGUUACGGCACUUCAAAUUAAUAACCUGGCUCC